rnacentral:lncRNA from 1 species
GCGCGCUGCUCGCCGGCGGCACUGAGCUGCGGCCGGGGCCGGGGCGGGCGGGGCUCGCGGGCGCCUCCUGCCCUGCCCUGCCCUGCCCUGGCCUGGCCUGGCCUGGCCUGGCCUGGCCGCGGGGACGGGCGUCGCUUCCCUCCUCCCCCCCCGCUCCCUCUGCCGCCUCCCUGCGUGUCCCGCGCCGCUCCCGGGUCGGCUCCGCAGUCGCGAUUAUCGCACUCCCACUUUUCUGAUUAUUUAGUUAAGCUUUCUUUCUUUUUUUUUCUUUUUUCUUCUUUUUCUUCUUAGGAACAGCGUGUUAGGCAAAACGCGUGUUUCCCCCUGUACUUCGUUUGGGUCCAUUGCUUGUUUCGCACGCCACAGUUCGGUGUAGCUUCAUCCCGCCUCCUUCGGGGUGUUGUGUUUUCAGGCACUUUGUCGUUGAGGCUCGUAAACGAAAUAAAAUCGCCCGGGCGCGGCCUCGGCCCGGUCGGUGAAGCUGUGAGACAGGCUCAAAUAACUCGAAGUAGAUAAAGAGGUCCUCGAAACCGGAGGCGUAUUGCUGUUGCUUUUGUGGGCUUCAGUACCUUAAACCAAAUCAUCCUUUUUCCGGUCCUUCACCAGAUGGUCUUAGACUUCGCUGGAGCUGCUCCACCUGCCUCGGCCAUUCGGCCGCAGCUACGGGCAGCUCUUGCCGCUGUUUCUUGCGCAUCAGCACGCGAUGCGCGUGUACCCUGUGUACGUGUGCGGGUGUGUACGCACCAGCAGCUGAUGCCUUGCUCUGGGAUGCAGGAAGAGCUUCUUCAGACAUGCCUAAGGAAAAAGUUUUAGGUGUGGUAGAAGAGAGAUUGGAAUUCUGGCAGUCAAAGCAUAUGUUAAACUUGACUAUUCUUACUUUAAGUAAGUAAGAUGAAGUUUUUAUUUGAAAUCAACUCUCUGAUGUAGCAGAGUCAGCUGCCCCAUGGACUGACUUUAGUGCCAAAAAUACUUUGCCUAUUUCCAGUUUGGAGUUUAGGGAAUAAAGUUACAUAGUAUAGGUGAAAACA